UUGGUCAUUUAGAGGAAGUAAAAGUCGUAACAAGGUUUCCGUAGGUGAACCUGCGGAAGGAUCAUUAUUGAAUAAGCUUGGUUGGGCUGUUGCUGGCUCUUCGGGGCAUGUGCACGCCUGACGGGGCCAACCUUUCUUUACCACCUGUGCACUUUUUGUAGACUUUUGGAAUAACCCUCGAGGAAACUCGGUUUUGAGGAUCGCUGUGUGCAAGCCAAGCUUUCCUUAGAUUUUUCCGGUCUAUGUUUUCAAUAUAUACCCCAUUGCAUGUUAUUUCUAAUAUUUAAUGGGCAUAAAGUGCCUUUAAACCUUAUACAACUUUCAACAACGGAUCUCUUGGCUCUCGCAUCGAUGAAGAGCGCAGCGAAAUGCGAUAAGUAAUGUGAAUUGCAGAAUUCAGUGAAUCAUCGAAUCUUUGAACGCACCUUGCGCUCCUUGGUAUUCCGAGGAGCAUGCCUGUUUGAGUGUCAUGAAAAUCUCAACCUUGUCAGCUUUUAUUAUUAUUGGCUGAUUAGGCUUGGACGUGGGAUUUUGUGGGCUUCUUAGGAAGUCGGCUAUCCUCAAAUUCAUUAGUUGGACCUUUUUGGUUACCUUCAGCCCUUAGUGUGAUAAUUAUCUACCCUAUGGCGGAAGUGACUUGGCUGCCAGCUUCUAAUCGUCUUCAUUUGAGACAAACAUGCAUGACAAUUGAAUUUGACCUCAAAUCAGGUAGGGCUACCCGCUGAACUUAAGCAUAUCAAUAAGCGGAGGAA
rnacentral:rRNA from 1 species